AAUGGCUAUGGUAGCUUAUUUACUAGAAGUCAUGUAUUUAGCUUUAACUCUGGAAGUAUAUACUCAAUUCUGACCAAACUAAGCCUCCUAUGCUAGUUUGGUCAGAAUCGAGUCUUUGUUUCCAGAGUUUAAUGCUAAAUACUUAUGGUAAAUGAGCCACCAUAGACACUA